rnacentral:rRNA from 1 species
GAUGAACUUUGGCGGCGUGCCUAAUACAUGCAAGUCGAGCGAACAGAUAAGGAGCUUGCUCCUUUGACGUUAGCGGCGGACGGGUGAGUAACACGUGGGUAACCUACCUAUAAGACUGGGAUAACUUCGGGAAACCGGAGCUAAUACCGGAUAAUAUUUCGAACCGCAUGGUUCGAUAGUGAAAGAUGGUUUUGCUAUCACUUAUAGAUGGACCCGCGCCGUAUUAGCUAGUUGGUAAGGUAACGGCUUACCAAGGCGACGAUACGUAGCCGACCUGAGAGGGUGAUCGGCCACACUGGAACUGAGACACGGUCCAGACUCCUACGGGAGGCAGCAGUAGGGAAUCUUCCGCAAUGGGCGAAAGCCUGACGGAGCAACGCCGCGUGAGUGAUGAAGGUCUUCGGAUCGUAAAACUCUGUUAUUAGGGAAGAACAUACGUGUAAGUAACUGUGCACGUCUUGACGGUACCUAAUCAGAAAGCCACGGCUAACUACGUGCCAGCAGCCGCGGUAAUACGUAGGUGGCAAGCGUUAUCCGGAAUUAUUGGGCGUAAAGCGCGCGUAGGCGGUUUUUUAAGUCUGAUGUGAAAGCCCACGGCUCAACCGUGGAGGGUCAUUGGAAACUGGAAAACUUGAGUGCAGAAGAGGAAAGUGGAAUUCCAUGUGUAGCGGUGAAAUGCGCAGAGAUAUGGAGGAACACCAGUGGCGAAGGCGACUUUCUGGUCUGUAACUGACGCUGAUGUGCGAAAGCGUGGGGAUCAAACAGGAUUAGAUACCCUGGUAGUCCACGCCGUAAACGAUGAGUGCUAAGUGUUAGGGGGUUUCCGCCCCUUAGUGCUGCAGCUAACGCAUUAAGCACUCCGCCUGGGGGGUACGACCGCAAGGUUGAAACUCAAAGGAAUUGACGGGGACCCGCACAAGCGGUGGAGCAUGUGGUUUAAUUCGAAGCAACGCGAAGAACCUUACCAAAUCUUGACAUCCUUUGACAACUCUAGAGAUAGAGCUUUCCCCUUCGGGGGACAAAGUGACAGGUGGUGCAUGGUUGUCGUCAGCUCGUGUCGUGAGAUGUUGGGUUAAGUCCCGCAACGAGCGCAACCCUUAAGCUUAGUUGCCAUCAUUAAGUUGGGCACUCUAAGUUGACUGCCGGUGACAAACCGGAGGAAGGUGGGGAUGACGUCAAAUCAUCAUGCCCCUUAUGAUUUGGGCUACACACGUGCUACAAUGGACAAUACAAAGGGCAGCGAAACCGCGAGGUCAAGCAAAUCCCGUAAAGUUGUUCUCAGUUCGGAUUGUAGUCUGCAACUCGACUACAUGAAGCUGGAAUCGCUAGUAAUCGUAAAUCAGCAUGCUACGGUGAAUACGUUCCCGGGUCU